GCCUCCCUAGCUCAAUCGGUAGAGCAUCUGACUCUUAAUCAGCAGGUUGCCGGUUCGAGUCCGGCGGGGGGCA
rnacentral:tRNA from 1 species